ACGAACGCUGGCGGCGUGCUUAACACAUGCAAGUCGAACGGAAAGGCCCUGCUUUUGUGGGGUGCUCGGGUGGCGAACGGGUGAGUAACACGUGAGUAACCUGCCCUUGACUUUGGGAUAACUUCAGGAAACUGGGGCUAAUACCGGAUAGGAGCUCCUGCUGCAUGGUGGGGGGUGGAAAGUUUCGGCGGUUGGGGAUGGACUUGCGGCUUAUCAGCUUGUUGGUGGGGUAGUGGCUUACCAAGGCUUUGACGGGUAGCCGGCCUGAGAGGGUGACCGGCCACAUUGGGACUGAGAUACGGCCCAGACUCCUACGGGAGGCAGCAGUGGGGAAUAUUGCACAAUGGGCGGAAGCCUGAUGCAGCAACGCCGCGUGCGGGAUGACGGCCUUCGGGUUGUAAACCGCUUUCGCCUGUGACGAAGCGUGAGUGACGGUAAUGGGUAAAGAAGCACCGGCUAACUACGUG
rnacentral:rRNA from 1 species